rnacentral:rRNA from 1 species
AUGGCGCAGAUCUGGAGGCUAUGGCGCAGAUCUGGCGUCGGCCACACGCCACAUAAUCAAGCUCCUGAAUUUGGUUUUCUACAUUCAGUGCAGCUGUACUAUGUUUUAUUGAUAAAUAUGAUGAGAAUGUUAAGCAUAUUUUACUGGUUUGAUGAAAGAAGCAACAGAAGCGUAUUGAAAACCAAACGAAAUUGCAGUAUGGCUAAAAUAAGAAGGGAAUCGCGGAUUGGAGACUUGGAUGCGAUCAGAGCCUGUCGGGAUGUAUGCGUGUCUUCACUUUGUGACAUCAGGGGAUUGACAGACUAUCAUACAUAA